rnacentral:lncRNA from 1 species
CUCCCGCCCUUAAUUUUUAAAUUUUUUGUAGAGAUGGGGUCUCACUAUCUUGCCCAGGCUGAAUGGAGUAGGGUGCUUUGAAUCAAACUAGACAAUAGCCUAGUAUUACAAACCACAGCAUUCCCUUUUACAAAAUAAGAAGCAGGAAUAUGUGCCCAAAGUCACUUUUUCUCAAACUAAGUAACAGGUAUUUUGAAACAUAACUGACUGGCCAGUACCCUUGUGGUUAACUGAUACUCACCAGAUAAUGUGAUUUUAACAUAACUCCUUAAAACACAGCAACUCCUUAUAAAAUAUAACUCCUAUUCCACGUAGUAUUUUCAUAUAGACUCUAUAAAUUAAUCUUGAAGAUAAUGAAAUUAAAGAAUACACAGUAGUAACCCACUUAAUAAAAUGAAUAUAUUCAAUUAGAUGAAAAUGCAAUUUCUAUAGCAAAGCAAUUUUUCAUUAGUUUAUACUUAAAAUUUCAGAAAUGAUUUACCCUCAUUUCUGCUUACUAUUCAAGCAACAGUGAUUUCCAACAUUUUAAGCCUCGAGUUUUCUUGUGUCUCUUUUAGCCCAGGGUAGGAAGUGACUUUACAAACACUUAAGUACAUCAGAAGAGCUUUCUAUUUAAAGCAAUUCUUCAGUGAAAUCUUCUCACCAUUUACUUUACGAACUUUGCAUAUUCGGUUUUUUAAGUAUUAAAUUUCUUAAAAUUUGGCACAUUAGUAAAGUAAAAAUAGUAUGUGUCCCUAGAAGACAAAACAACAAAUAUACACCAGAAAAAUAAUAAGGUUUAAAACAUACAGGAGACACUGUACCCUCCACUAUAAAGAAUGCAAAAAUAUGAUAUGGGAUACCUAAAGAAAAAGAUUUUUCUUAUAAAUUAAAAUAUGCUCACAUCACCAUAUUAUAUUUUGAAGAAAGAUUAUCUCUAUUUUUGAGAUGACAGAUCUAAGGUUGUAAAGCAGAAUACUUGUUUUCAGCUCUCAGCUAUUAUUUUUGUCUGUAGUCUGCUGCACUAUCUUUCUCCUUUGCCAUAUGCAUUGUAGGUGGGAUGUUUCCUGUUGUUACUAUGUCUAGCUUUGCAGACUCAAUUUUCAAACAGUUUAUUUACUUCUCAAAGUGUGAUCCUAUAAUUGUGCUUUGCUGUCCCCAAGUCAAAGUAAGUAUUAGGAUGUGUACUCAGUUUUUCUAUUUAAUAUAUAUUUUUGAAACAAAAAUCAAACCCUUCGUUAACCUGGUAUAAUUUAAACAGUAACAUCAAAAACCAAAUUAAAAAAAUACAAUGGACAGUAAGAUAAAAUCACCUAACUUCCUUACAAAUCUUUAUCCGUUAGUUUAGUCAAAACCUUACAUGUGAUUGAUGGGAUAUGCUUUCUAACUUAUUAUAAACUCUUUUAUUAUCAGAUACAGUGAAGAUUAAUUCACAGUAAGAAGAUUACAAACUGGUGUUACAUCAAAACCAUCCCAGGAAAAAAAAAUGUGUCCUUAAUUUCCCCAAUCCUCAAGUUUUCUUUUUCUUUUCCUUUUUUUUUUUUUUGUCAGCAAUCAUAAGACUGUACUUAUUAAAUUCAAGGUAAUUAAAGAAAACAACCUUCUUUACCGAGAAAAAAGAAAAAAGAUACAACCCUGAAAAGUUUUUGUAGAGAUGAGAUUUAGGAACCAUAGUACCAACAUAGUUUGCUUCCAGGGACAUAAGACUCCUGUUUAGAAAUUUUGUAGAUGUAUGGAACUUAGCAAAGUCCUGAAAGAUUUAGUAAAUGCUAAAAGAAACUGAAAAGAAAUGUAUAAAACAAGCAUAAAAGAAGUUUUAAAAAUGUGAUUCCUCCUGUUAUAUAGACUACACUGAAAUCCAGUGUCUGGUUGAACUUUCUAGGCAUCCUGCCUGACUUUCUUCUCUUUCACAUUCCUGCUUUAUUUCUUAUGGCAGAUAUUAUUACACUAGGAGGCAGGGGACCGAGGUACCAGAUAUACCAGUUGUUAUAUAACCUUGGAUAAGAGACCUUUUCUGGGUCUCUUUCUCCUGAUCCAAAACAUUGAGAGAAUGAAAAAUUAAUGCUUUUAUUAUUAUCACCUAGAAAUGUUUGCUUUACAACUCAACUUGUAUCUGCAUUCUCUAAAUAGCUGAAAAGAACUGUUUGUUCUUUUGUAAUGUAUAUCACUCAUAAAUAUUUCCUUAGUAUUGGUCUUCAGUGGAAAGACUAUAAGCUCCAUAGUCCUUGCCUGUCUUAUUCAUAGGUGAAUAACUGGCAUACAGUAAGUACUUAAUAUUUUUAGAAUGAGUAACUGAAUUAAUGAACAUUUAUGCUUCUCUACAUCACUAUGAAAAACCUGAGCUUGCUUCUCAAGUCCUGGGACUUUCUGUAAAUGCAUUUUUCCUAACUGCAUUUAUAAUGCGAAUACACUGCACAUUCUGUUUUUUCUCUUUGAGAAAAAUUUCUGCUUAUGAAAAUAUUACUAUUCUCUUGAAUCAGGAUUUGAUGUCUCUUAGCAGCUGAUGUUAACCUUAAUAGUUUAAGAUGUCUCUAACUGUCUCAUUUAAAGAUAAUAAUAUUUUUCACAAGGCAUAACUUUAAAAAAGCAUAUGUAAAUAUAACUUGAUAUUUUUUAGCAGACAUUUAAAGUGGUUUAAUUACAUCAGGAUUUACAAAAUAAUAUGAGUUUUCAAACUGGGUUACUGGGUGAUUAGGUUUCCUGAUUCUAUGCAGAAUGAAUAUAUGAAAAUACCAAAAAAGAUUUUAGAACAUUUUGUAGAACUUGUUUAUAACAUUUAAGCAUUAUUUCAUAUGAAAAAUACCAGGGAUGUUGUGUACCAGAAUCCAGUCAAUACUUGGUUAUUUGAAACAAACAAAUUAUCUUUGUUUAGUUUUCUACAAUAAAAGUGGCCUUUAUGUAAAAAUCUCCAUUAAGUGUUUGCAAUUUUUAGAGUAGUAUACUAAAUGUUAAGUUUGGUUAUUUUGGAAGAGAAAAUUCAUUCUGCCUUUACAUAAAAACCCUACGUCUUAAGCAAUUAUGAGCAUAAAUUAUAAAUUUGAAAUUACUUUUGUUAUCUACGCAACCAUUUAUAAUUAUCUCUUUAAAAAUGCUUCUGAGUGUUUUGAUUGCCAAUAUUUAUUAUUUUCUGGGUCCCCCAACCAAACUGUUCAUCAGUUUCUUAAACUUAUGAGUUACACACUCUGUAAUAGUUUAAAUAAGAAAAAAUAAAAACCUAUUUAAAAUGUUCUUUAAUAUGAAAAUUAAAACAUAGAUACUGUUCACCUUAUAAAUCUAGUGCUGUUCAAAACCUCAUUGCUCACUAAUUUAUUCCCUGAAACUUGGAAUCACUUAAUAGAAAUGAAAUACUAAGAAUGACAGUUAAGUUUCUAGGAUGGCUCACAGGAGCACUGAGCCCAUAUAUAGUACUAGAGUACUGACUAUGAGAAAUAGGAGUUUUUGACCUAGUUCAUCAAAGAUGGAGAAAAAGCCAGUUGAUGGCUAAAAAAGAUAUUCAGCCCUUAAAUGUCCUAAGGGAUGGCUAGCCCAAUACUUAACUUUAAUUGUCUACACCCAUUUAAAUCAAACUUUUCAAGUAAUCUUUGAGUGAACCAACCUUAAGUAAGAGGAUAUAUCCAAAGCAGACACAAGCUAAUACAAUUUUAAACAACAGAAGAACAUAUCUUUACAUUUACUUUGCCAACUAAUGGUUUUGUUGUUUGAAUUCUCAAUGAGGAGAAUGUCAACUAAUAGUUUUGUUGUUUGAAUUCUCAAUAAGGAGAACAGAUAGCUUGGCUCAACACAUUGGCACAUGGAAUAUGUUGGGUUCUAAUUUUAGUCUUUCCACUGACUUUCUUAUUGCUAUACUUUAAAAGGUCCUAAACACUCUGUAUGUCUGUUUCUUUAUGAGAAACAACAAAGAUAUUUUUCCCACUAUCUCCCUCAACAAGAAGUAAAACAAUAAUGUAAAGAAUCUGGCAAAUGUAAAAAGACACAUAAAAGUGUCAUUUGAAAAGUCUGGUAUACAUUUCAAAGAACUAUAAAUAGAAUUUGUUUUAUUGUACCAAAUGAAAUAUUACCAAGUUAAAGAUUUACCAUAAUAUACUAGUCACUAUUUUCUAUAGUACAACUAAUAUAAAGACAACACAUAUAAUCACUAUAACAGUUAAUACUUUUGUGUCACUUAGCAUGAACCAGGCAUUUUUAAAGCAUUGUAUAUAUCUAAAGCAUUGAUUAUAUCUAAACUCACUAAAUAACCCUGAGGUGGACACAACUGACUAGGCCCAUUUUACUAAUGAAGAGACUGAGGCACAGAAUAUCCCAUAGCUAGUUAAGUGGUGGAGCAGGGAUUUGAAUCCAGACAGUCUGGCUCUAGGGUCCGUGCUCUUAACGUUUUUGCAAUAUUGCCUACCUAAUGUGAGGAAACAAAGACAAGGAAAGAAAAUAUAUUUACAUAUUUGUUCACUUAAUAACAAUCACCAAAACCAAUGCUGUAAGUUAUGAGAAUAUUUACAUUAACCAAGUUGGGGAGCAUUUAUUCAAAUUUCUCCACCAUCUGAGUUUCAUGUUUACAGAUGUCCACUUUGUGGGUCUUACUGUGUUGGCAAAGUGCAGAACAGCACAAAAAUGAAGUAUAUCAGUCCUCAGAAAAAUGUAGGAGUUCAAGAAAGCUUUAAAAUAGCUUUAAGAUUAACAGAUAAUUUUAUUUCUAAAAAAAGAAAAAAUUUUUAACGCAUAACAUACAGAUUAUAGAACAGUUAUUAAUAGUAAUAUAAUUUCAUUUUCCUUCUCGCCUUCUACUAUUACUAAUAGUGCACCCUGCUUAUUCAACGAAGACUUGCACAUAUCUUCCCUCUCUUAGAAUUAAUUCAUCUUUGUGAUAUUUUGUUAUUAAUAAAGGUAACAAUCCAUUUUUUUCAUUUUUUUUCAUCUACUAUGGUAGUAGAUGCUAUUAGUAAUAGGAGAGAAGGAAAAUGAAAAAAUUUAGUGAAUGUCCACAACAUUCUAGGACUUCAUACUCUAUCAUUCAUAGUCAUGACAACUCUGAGAUAUGCAUUACCAUACUAAUUUUACUGAUAAACUAAAGUUCAGAACUUUAACAGCUCGUUAAAGGUUCUAUAUUGUAGUAUUCAGUCUAUGGAGCCAAUGCUCAAACCCAGGAAUGUCUCUGAAAGCUCUACAGGUUGUCGCCUAUUAAUAAAAAGGGUAUAAUGUUUAUCAUUGGUCAUCUGUGAGUAAUAGUAAUUAGAAGAGUGUAAAAACAUAUUGAUAAGCUCAGCACUUAACUUUAAAAAUAAUUUUCAUGACCUUUCUUUCUCAAAGCCGCUAAGGAUGCAACAAAAGAAAAUGAUGUUUGUCUCACUUUUGUAUUCUUCACGUUAAAUUUUUGGGUAGGUGUUUAUAAGCAGUGAAAUAUGAAGAAACACUUCAUUAAGUAUGUUCCUCAGAAUGUUUGUUUGUUAUAAUGAUAAAAUAAGAUAAUGUCUACAAGACUUUUAGCACAAUGAGUGGCGCAAAGUACUCAAUAAAUGUUAGUGACCAUUAUUAGAAGUUCAGAAGAAUUACAUAUUAAGACCCCUUGAAAAAAUAUUGCAGUAAAAAUGUUUAUCCAGCAUUCGUUAAUCAUAAUCAUGGUUUUUAAACCUUAUUUGAUGAAGCAGCCUUUUGGGUUUUUUCAGGUGCGAGGAUAAUCAUACCUAUUAAGUUAUCACAGAACUAGAGGACCUUGGAAUACGCUUCGCUAAACAACAGUAGAAAGCUGUAAAAUAGAAGAAACGUAUCAAUCCCUGAAAAAUGCACAAGUGAAACUUCAUUUCUAUUUAAGAGAUGCCAAUCUGCUGUAAAAGCAUGGUCUGCUGUACCUGAGAAUGCGAGAAAAUUAAGUUCAAGAUCACCUGAUGAAGUACCUUCAUCAAUUUUCAACUUCAAGCAUUGGCAGAAUUCAUCAACUGUUAUGUGGUGCCAGCUAAGGAUCUUCUAAGCUGUCCAGCUGAAUGUGUCCCUCACCAUCAUUUGUUAGAAUCUCUUGCACCAGCCUAAUGCACUUGAAGUAAGGCUUUUUUCUUCAUUAUUCACAGCUUAGUCAAUCAUACCCAGGACAUUCUCUUUUGAAUACAUAUAGACAUAACUUUUAAUCUCCUUCCUUUUCUUUUCUAACUUCUACCUGGUUAUAUUUAUGACACUACGUUGACUGGUUUCCAAUGUUAUUUCUGUUAAAAGGGUUUCUUAUGAGACCUGUCACUGUAACCAUGAUUCUAUGGGAAAAAGCAUUAUUGGUUUUAAACUGAAAUAAAAAUGAACUUCUAUAACACAAAUCUUUUAUAAUUAAUAGUAGGUUUUUCUUGUUAAACCUAAGGAACAUUAGUCUAAGUUUAAAUAUUAAACCUAAGGAUAAAGGAAAGCUUGGCCUACACAAAGUUCUGCAGUUUGGCUCCUACAUAACUCCCUAGCAUCAUCACUUACCAUGCAAACUCUUGCUCUAAACUUCUGCCACAUUGACCUUUGUUUAAUAUUCGGUACUAUGCUUCCUCCCACCUCAGAACCUCUGUAUAUGCUAUUCCUUCUUCCCAGAAAACUCUUUUCUUCAUCUUGAUCAAAUUAACUUACUUGAGAUCUCAGCUAAAUAAACACUUCCUCCAAAAAAAAAUUCCUCUUGAUCGCACUGAGUAAAUUCUCCUUCUAAAAGCCCUCAUAUUACGUACCUCUCUACAGCAACUGAAACAGUUCCAACUUUGCAUUUAUUUGUAUGAUUAUUUCAUUAAUAUCCUUUUCUAUCUUUAGAUAUAAGUUCCGGGAGAUCAAGACCUAUGUCUAUUUUUGCUCACUAUCCCAGUGAGCACAUAAUAGUAACAACACAUGUUUGUCAAAGAAAGACACUGGCAAACCCUUUGUGAAAAAGAGAUAAACACUGAGUCAACAAUAACCACCGUUUAAAGAAAUUCACUAUGACAUUUUAGCUAAAAAAAAUACAGAGCCAUAUUAGAACUCUUUAAACUUUCAGAAGAAAUAAAAAAGUUCAAUUUCUGGUAGUAGGUGAAGACUGGAUGGUAAUUUACAUCAUAGGGGUACCUGGAAAUAAAUUAGAUGCAAACAAAACUUAUAAAGAAAAUGGAGAAAACAUAAGCUGCAUCCUUUGUUACUUUCAGCAUUUAUAGAUGAUUUAUAGUUUUAAUUGUGUACUAUUUACUAUUGAUCCUAGGGAUCAACCUGGGUAAAAAAUUUAUUUGUGAAAGAAAAAAGAACCUUAGCUAGUAUUCUUGCAUGUUUGCUGCCUUAACUAGUGUUUUCAUUUCCAACUCAUAUUCAGAAAACACUUCAGACUCCAAUGGACUCUCUAGUCAUAAUUGCAAGGACCUAUUCAUUUCCUUAUUUUUUGUGCAAAUAAUUUUUCCCCCUUUCUCUACUUCUUUCUUUUCGAAACUACAUUCAGGGAAAUAAAAUUUUAGAACCAUAAAAGUAAAGGUACGGUAUAUUAUUUCAAAUCAUUUCCCUAAUUUACCAGGCUACUCUGAAUUUUAAUCCCAGCUUUCAAACUAGUAAAAAUAAGCUUCCCAAUCCUCUCACCCAUUGGAAGCUUUGUCUUUACCUGAAUUACCCUCUUCUGUGACAAACUAGUAUCUAAACUCCACCUAAACCCUGAUUAACUCAGGUCCUCCCCAAAAGCACACUGUGAUUAACUCUACAGAAUUCUAAUUGCUUUUUUUUUUACAAGGCAUAUUUACACACUCAGUUUAAUGUUAUUUUACAAAGGUUCUUAAAGUGUUUUUCAAGUACAUGUUUCAGUCACUUAAAAAGAAGUACUUAGUCUUCAAACCUUCUGUUUUAUUUUUGUCCUCUAUUCAAACCAGUACCUGAUUAUAGAAAACAUUACAAAAAUAUUACAUGAUUAUACUAUCUGUAUUUUGAGUGAACAUAUAAUAAUUUGGAUCACUGAUUAAAAUAAUAAAGUUCAUCUUAUUCCCAUAUAUUAUAUCUUAUCUCAGAUUGAAAUUGUCUACCACUUUAUAACUGCCAUCCUUUAUCACCAGCAGCCCAGUCUAUAUUUUUCCAGGACAGUGAGAAGUGCAUUUUUCAGUAAGAAGCAAAAUAUUUAAAAACUACAUUAUAUCCAUUGUUCCUUCCUCAAUUGACUAGGCUUUUCACCCUGUUAGAUAAGUCUGACAGACUUUAUUCUCUAUCAAGCUAUGAUGACUGUUAGCCAAUACUAUAUUCUCUUCAAGAUAUUCUAGGGAUAUAUUCAUGUGACUAUUUAGACUAGAACUGCAAUUUUCCUGGGUCAUUUUUUACUUCAAUACGUAAGUAUAUUUUCUCAUCAAAAAUCAUUACAUGAAUAUAAGCUUAUUGCUACAAAUAAAUCCAAGUAAUGCUAAAGAUUAAAUAAAAAGAAUUCGUCAACCUUCCCACAUCCCACAUAUAUACUUUCCGUAUACAAAGCAUGGAAUUUGAUACCUAUCUUCCAGAUUUUUUCUUAAUGUACUGAGGUUCUAAUAUAUAUGGCAUAUACUUUAUGUCUUUAUGGUAUAAAUAGUAUAAAAAUGUAUUGUAUGGAUGUAAACAUAUACAUUCAUAAACAUUGCAUACUUAUUAUUCUGUCCAUUUUUUACAUAAAUGAAAUCAUAGUGUGCAUAUUAUUUUGUGAUGUGCUUUUCAACCUAGCUUAUCUUAGAGAUCUUUCCAUGGAUUUAAACUAUAAAUCUAAGUUUUGCAUGGUUGUUUUUCAUUCUUAUCUUCAGAUACACUUGAGAGUAUUUCCCAACUUUUUUUUUUCUUAUGAGACAGAGUCUUGCUCUGUUACCCAGGCUGAAGUGCA